GGACAGCUUCAAGGCCGUGCGACCCUGGCUCAUCAACGUACAGGAAGCUGCGGGAGUGGGCAUUCCCAUCCUGCUCCUGGGCAACAAGAUGGAUGCGACGUCCGAGAGGGAGGUACCACUUAAAGAUGCAGAGACUCUGGCCCACGACACCCGUGUGAUAUUCUAUGAGGUCAGUGCUUACACCGGCUACAACGUGACAGAGGCCAUAUUCCACCUGGCCAGAGUGCUGAAAGAGCAGGAGGAUCGGGUGAGAGACACGUUUGUCUUAUUGGAGGCCCUGCCCAUCAAGAAGAAAGCCUGCUGCAAGUAAAG